rnacentral:rRNA from 1 species
CCUACGGGCGGCUGCAGUCGAGAAUCUUCCGCAAUGGACGAAAGUCUGACGGAGCGACGCCGCGUGGUGGAUUAAGUCCUUAGGGACGUAAACACCUUUUAUGAGUGAAGAAGUAUAUUGACAUUAGCUCAUGAAUAAGGGGCUCCCAACUCUGUGCCAGCAGGAGCGGUAAUACAGAGGCCUCAAGCGUUGUCCGGAUUCACUGGGCGUAAAGGGUGCGUAGGCGGUUAUAUUAGUUGGGUGUAAAAUCCUGGGGCUCAACCUCAGGCUCGCAUUCGAAACGGUAUAACUAGAAGAAGUGAGAGGUAAACAGAACUCUCGGUGUAGGGGUGAAAUCCGUUGAUAUCGAGGGGAAUACCAAAUGCGAAGGCAGUUUACUGGCACUUUCUUGACGCUGAGGCACGAAAGCGUGGGUAGCGAACGGGAUUAGAUACCCUGGUAGUC